AAGGAUUUAAGUUAAACUAAAAACUAGUAACCUUCAAAGUUACCAUUAGAGAAGGCU
rnacentral:tRNA from 1 species